UUCUCGUACAAUCACCGAAGUUAAGCAACGUCGAGCCUGUUCAGUACCUGCAUGGGUGACUGUUUGGGAAUAUCAGGUGCUGUAA